rnacentral:rRNA from 1 species
GACGAACGCUGGCGGCGUGCUUAACACAUGCAAGUCGAACGGGUCUGCCCUGUUUUUUGCGGGGUGGGUCAGUGGCGAACGGGUGAGUAACACGUGAGUAACCUGCCCCUCACUUCUGGAUAACCGCUUGAAAGGGUGGCUAAUACGGGGUGUUCUGGCUGUGCCGCAUGGUGUGGCUGGGAAAGAUUCACUUUUGUGGUGUUUUGGUGGGGGAUGGGCUCGCGGCCUAUCAGCUUGUUGGUGGGGUGAUGGCCUGCCAAGGCUUUGACGGGUAGCCGGCCUGAGGAGGUGGGCGGUCACACUGGGACUGAGAUACGGCCCAGACUCCUGCGGGAGGCAGCAGUGGGGGGUAUUGCACAAUGGGCGGAAGCCUGAUGCAGCGACGUCGCGUGAGGGAUGAGGCCUUCGGGUUGUGAACCUCUUUCGCCGGUGAAGAAGGUCCUGCUCUUUGUGGUGGGGUUGACGGUAGCCGGGUUAUGAAGCGCCGGCUAACUACGUG